GUCAGCAGCCGCGGUAAUACGGAGGGUCCAAGCGUUAUCCGGAAUUAUUGGGUUUAAAGGGUUCGUAGGCGGUCAGAUAAGUCAGUGGUGAAAUUUCUUAGCUUAACUAAGACACUGCCAUUGAUACUGUUUGACUUGAAUUAUAUGGAAGUAACUAGAAUAUGUAGUGUAGCGGUGAGAUGCUUAGAUAUUACAUGGAAUACCAAUUGCGAAGGCAGGUUACUACGUAUUGAUUGACGCUGAUGAACGAAAGCGUGGGGAGCGAACAGGAUUAGAAACCCUCGUAGUCC
rnacentral:rRNA from 1 species